rnacentral:lncRNA from 1 species
GCAGCACCAGGGCGACUCCUUGAUCAGUUUUGCCUCCCCAGGGAUGGUGCCGACAGCCCCCCCUCGUCCUCAGGUACCGCACGGUCCCAGUUUGCAGAAAGCGAGGGGUCUUAGUUCUACUCGGUUGCCAAAGCUGACUCUCUCCUUAGCAGGCUCGCACCGGUGCUGAAAGCCCUGGGGACCCAAAGACAAGGGAACACCGAGAGGACACAGAUAGUAGAACGUGUGCCUUGGAAAAAGCGCCAGCAAGCUCUCAUUUUGGAAAAUUCUGAACUAGGCUAUGGUGACUUAGAACUUCUCCUCGUACAGCAAUUAUUCGUUUAUUGUAAGUACUUUUUUAAUACCUGUCUUCCCCUGUGGACAGUAGCUCCCUUUGGGGGAGAGACGUGUGGUUCACCACAGUGUUGCCAGCACCUGACACGUUCUUA